rnacentral:rRNA from 1 species
GACAGCAAUAUGAAGGUCAGGCUGAAGACCUUACCGGAUUAGCUGAGAGGUGGUGCAUGGCCGUCGUCAGUUCGUACUGUGAAGCAUCCUGUUAAGUCAGGCAACGAGCGAGACCCACGUCCACAGUUGCCAGCAUACCCUCCGGGGGUGAUGGGUACACUGUGGAGACCGCCGCUGCUAAAGCGGAGGAAGGAAUGGGCAACGGUAGGUCAGUAUGCCCCGAAUCUCCCGGGCUACACGCGGGCUACAAUGGUUGGUACAAUGGGCAUCUACCCCGAAAGGGGAAGGAAAUCUCUUAAAGCCAAUCGUAGUUCGGAUUGAGGGCUGCAACUCGCCCUCAUGAAGCUGGAAUCCGUAGUAAUCGCGUUUCAACAGAACGCGGUGAAUACGUCCCUGCUCCUU